UUUAAUAUGAUUUGAUCCUGGCUCAGGACGAACGCUGGCGGCGUGCCUAAUACAUGCAAGUUGAGCGCUGAAGGUUGGUACUUGUACCAACUGGAUGAGCAGCGAACGGGUGAGUAACGCGUGGGGAAUCUGCCUUUGAGCGGGGGACAACAUUUGGAAACGAAUGCUAAUACCGCAUAAAAACUUUAAACACAAGUUUUAAGUUUGAAAG
rnacentral:rRNA from 1 species